CAGUAGCCGCGGGAAUACCGAGGGUGCAAGCGUUAAUCGGAAUUACUGGGCGUAAAGCGUGCGCAGGCGGUUAUAUAAGACAGAUGUGAAAUCCCCGGGCUCAACCUGGGAACUGCAUUUGUGACUGUAUAGCUAGAGUACGGCAGAGGGGGAUGGAAUUCCGCGUGUAGCAGUGAAAUGCGUAGAUAUGCGGAGGAACACCGAUGGCGAAGGCAAUCCCCUGGGCCUGUACUGACGCUCAUGCACGAAAGCGUGGGUAGCAAACAGGAUUAGAUACCCCUGUAGUCCCUGUCUCUUAUAC
rnacentral:rRNA from 1 species